rnacentral:misc_RNA from 1 species
GUUCAUCGAGAGCCUUCUGAGCCAGGUCUUUCUUUUCGAGCCUCUCCUGCUCAGCAGCCAGUACAUCUCUCUCAGCAGCAUCAAGUCGUGUCUCGAGAGUUCGGUGAAUCUCUUCUAUGACUUGAAGAUAAUGAUUCUUUUCAUUUGACAAAUUAAGAAUCCGAGACUGCAGUUCCCGCGCUUCUGCUGCUAGUAUAGCUUUCUCACCGUAAACUUCACCAGCAUGCAUGUCGUUUGCCUCCUUUGCAUGCUUCAGCAUCUGCUUGAGUUCCUCCACCUUUGUAAUUGUGUUUUCACCGGCCAUGGAGGCUUCAUCUUUAGCCAAUAUUGC